CCUGGCUGUUGUUGCCGCCGUGUCGACCAUCCCGGUUUCGCUCGCUCGUCCUAUUCCUCUUGCUCGUCCUCUUCCUCUCGGUUUCGCUCGCUCCCGAGCUCUCGUCGACGCGUCGUCGCCAUCCUCAUGGCCACUGGCCUCCCCGGCGAUCGGGAGGUUCUCCAGGAGCUCCGCCAUCAUGGACUCUUUCGCCUACCUCCGCUGAAUCAAGCUAAGAGGCACCAUACGCUCGGGAUCGAGAUGGUUUCCGCCACGGCCGUCGCAUCUUACUGUCGAGCUUGACACAUCCGGCCACCACUGCAGCUCCUGACCUCGUCCACAAGCUCCGCGACCCCGUGACGGCUGCCGAUGCCGCCGUGAUCGACUACGUCACCGACGACCCUCCUUCUCGUCUGAGCAACAAGGGUUUCGAAGAAACGGAAUAUCAAAUGGAGUCCAAACGGAAUGAAACCUUCGGAAACGUGAUUUUCUCAUCAGAUAAGAUCCAGGAGACUUGGACCCUCCGUCAAGAAAGCCACGAGGUGGUCACGAGGGUUGGGCCCCUCGAAGCUCCACCGACAUACUUCUUCCUCCUAUAUAUAUCCACGUACCCCAAAACGAUCGAGGACGGAGCCAAAAACCUAAUUCCACCGCCGCAACUUUCUGUAUCCACGAGAUCCCAUCUUGGGGCCUGUUCCGGAGCUCCACCGGAGGAGGCAUCGAUCACGGAGGGCUUCUACAUCAUCAUCCAAGCCCCUCCGAUGAAGUGUGAGUAGUUUACUUUAGACCUACGGGUCCAUAGCUAGUAGCUAGAUGGCUUCUUCCCUCUUUUUGGAUCUCAAUACAAUGUUCUCCCCCUCUCUCGUGGAGAUCUAUUCGAUGUAAUCUUCUUUUUGCAGUGUGUUUGUUGAGACCGAUGAAUUAUGGGUUUAUGAUCAAGUCCA
rnacentral:rRNA from 1 species